GCCAGGUGUGGUGGCUCACGCCUGUAAUCCCAACACCUAGGGAGGCUGAGGCAGGUGGAUCACUUGAGGUCAGGGGUUCGAGACCAGCCUGGCCAACAUGGUGAAACCCUGUCUCUA
rnacentral:SRP_RNA from 2 species